UAUUGGGCAAUGGGCGCAAGCCUGACCCAGCAACGCCGCGUGAAGGAAGAAGGCUUUCGGGUUGUAAACUUCUUUUGACAGGGAAGAGUAGAAGACGGUACCUGUCGAAUAAGCCACGGCUAACUACGUGCC
rnacentral:rRNA from 1 species